UACCGUUAAUUUCUGCUAAACAUAUACAUGCAAGUAUCUGCGCCCCAGUGUAAAUGCCCCAACGCUCUUAUUAACUAGACAAAGGGAGCGGGCAUCAGGCUCGCCCAUUGCUGCAGCCCAAGACGCCUUGCUUAGCCACACCCCCACGGGUACUCAGCAGUAAUUAGUAUUAAGCAAUAAGUGAAAACUUGACUUAGUUAUAGCAGCACUCAGGGUUGGUAAAUCUUGUGCCAGCCACCGCGGUCACACAAGAGACCCAAAUUAACUGUCACACGGCGUAAAGAGUGGUACCAUGCUAUCCUGACAACUAAGAUCAAAAUACAGCUAAGCUGUCAUAAGCCCAAGAUGUAUUUAAAAACACCUCCAAGAUGAUCUUAGCAGCCCCGACUAAUUAAACUCCACGAAAGCUAGGACACAAACUGGGAUUAGAUACCCCACUAUGCCUAGCCCUAAAUCUUGAUACCUUCCAUCACCAAAGUAUCCGCCUGAGAACUACGAGCACAAACGCUUAAAACUCUAAGGACUUGGCGGUGCCCCAGACCCACCUAGAGGAGCCUGUUCUAUAAUCGAUAACCCACGAUGCACCCGACCACUCCUUGCCAAAGCAGCCUAUAUACCGCCGUCGCCAGCUCACCUCGCCUGAAAGAACAACAGUGAGCAUAAUAGCCCCAACCCCGCUAACAAGACAGGUCAAGGUAUAGCCUA
rnacentral:rRNA from 1 species